GAUUCACACAAGAGCAUCAUCAGAUCAUUAUACAGGCUCUGAUACCAUGAAACAUGCUCAAUAUCAGAGAAAUUUUAGAGAGAGAAAGUAGAGAGAAGGGAGAGCACCCGGAAGAGUCUCUAAGAGACUCAGACUUUUAUCAAAGAAAAAUGACCCCCUUCGGUCUGUCCAAAUGACCCCAAAGGCUAUAUAUCAAAUAUAGCCUUUGCAAAUGUAGCCUAAUCAAUUACAGAAAUAGUCUAUUUACACAUAUAGCCUAACUACAGAAAAUAAGCUAAUUACAAGAAUAGCCUAAUUACAUAAGUAGCCUAUUAGGCUCAGAUAUGACUCCCUUAUUGACCCUUACCGGUCUAAAGUGGGUUUAUCGUCAUCGCCUAUAUAC
rnacentral:lncRNA from 1 species